GUUUGACACCGAUGACAGACUUUGGUUUUUGAUGAAAAUUUGGUCUGGAAUAUCUGGGCCAAACGCAAAAACCGUGGUUCCUGUACUAACAGAAAACGGGGAAAGGAGAUAAUCUGUUGACACCUUACGAUAUGAUUUUUACCUCACAAUGAAGGUCAUUUUCGGAAUACACGCUGUAGUUUGGUUUGCAACAGGCACAUUUCCAGCAAAAUUCCGGGGUUUUUUGGGUCUCCCUUCGUGUUGAAUCUUACCUACGAUGCAGGACCUGAUGUCGAUUCGCUGGAAGAGCCGCCUAAAAAAACACGCUAUGAUAGAGGGACCCUGGACGACUACAGUGCAGCGAUGCUCCGCACCAUCGUGGGAUUGGUAGCGUGUGCACUCUGCACUCCACGAGCCGGCACAUUGAUCUUUCGAAGCCUCCGGUGCGCGAUGCAGAAGCCGAGAUUGCUCGUUCACGCAGUGGUAGUGAGCAUCCUCCAAUUGUUGAGGGCUUGGGUUGCUCGGUAAGGAAUCGCAAGGAUUUCGCUCCGCAGCAUCCUGUAACGAUUACGGGCGUUUUGGGCGGAAACGAGAAAAAAGAGGCCUUUUUGAGCGAAUAACAGUGGACGUUUUUGGCGAAUAUGAGAUUAUCAAUGAGAUUAGUGGGCAAGGGCUGAAAUUUUAUUUUGUUAUUUAUUCUGCACAAUGUGGCAAACAAUUUCUCGUUACUCUGUAUAACAUAUUUCAAAGCCGAAUCAACGAAUAAACUUGCAGCGAAAACGAGAAAAAAGAGGCCUUUUGAGCGAAAAACAGUGGACGUUUAUGGCGAAUAUGAGAUUAUCAAUGAGAUUUGUGGGCGAGGGCUGAAAUUUUAUUCUGUUAUUUUUCUGCACAAUGUGGCAAACAAUUUCUCGUUACUCUGUAUAACAUAUUUCAAAGCCGAAUCCACGAAUAAACUCGCACUGCACUUUUUGAUUGAACAUCGAAA